rnacentral:rRNA from 1 species
UACGUAGGGGGCGAGCGUUGUCCGGAAUCAUUGGGCGUAAAGCGCGUGUAGGCGGCCCGGUAAGUCAGCUGUGAAAGUCCAGGGCUCAACCCUGGGAUGCCGGUGGAUACUGUCGGGCUCGAGUCCGGAAGAGGCGAGUGGAAUUCCUGGCGUAGCGGUGAAAUGCGCAGAUAUCAGGAAGAACACCAAUGGCGAAGGCAGCUCUCUGGGACGGUACUGACGCUGAGACGCGAAAGCGUGGGGAGCGAACAGG